rnacentral:tRNA from 1 species
UGAUACCGGCAUUCCCUGGUUCGAAUCCAGGUACCCCAGCCAUCGAAGAAACAAUCUGGCUACGUAGCUCAGUUGGU